ACGAACGCUGGCGGCGUGGAUAAGACAUGCAAGUCGAACGAGAGAAUUGCUAGCUUGCUAAUAAUUCUCUAGUGGCGCACGGGUGAGUAACACGUGAGUAACCUGCCCCCGAGAGCGGGAUAGCCCUGGGAAACUGGGAUUAAUACCGCAUAGUAUCGAAAGAUUAAAGCAGCAAUGCGCUUGGGGAUGGGCUCGCGGCCUAUUAGUUAGUUGGUGAGGUAACGGCUCACCAAGGCGAUGACGGGUAGCCGGUCUGAGAGGAUGUCCGGCCACACUGGAACUGAGACACGGUCCAGACACCUACGGGUGGCAGCAGUCGAGAAUCAUUCACAAUGGGGGAAACCCUGAUGGUGCGACGCCGCGUGGGGGAAUGAAGGUCUUCGGAUUGUAAACCCCUGUCAUGUGGGAGCAAAUUAAAAAGAUAGUACCACAAGAGGAAGAGACGGCUAACUCUGUGCCAGCAGCCGCGGUAAUACAGAGGUCUCAAGCGUUGUUCGGAAUCACUGGGCGUAAAGCGUGCGUAGGCUGUUUCGUAAGUCGUGUGUGAAAGGCGCGGGCUCAACCCGCGGACGGCACAUGAUACUGCGAGACUAGAGUAAUGGAGGGGGAACCGGAAUUCUCGGUGUAGCAGUGAAAUGCGUAGAUAUCGAGAGGAACACUCGUGGCGAAGGCGGGUUCCUGGACAUUAACUGACGCUGAGGCACGAAGGCCAGGGGAGCGAAAGGGAUUAGAUACCCCUGUAGUCCUGGCAGUAAACGGUGCACGCUUGGUGUGCGGGGAAUCGACCCCCUGCGUGCCGGAGCUAACGCGUUAAGCGUGCCGCCUGGGGAGUACGGUCGCAAGAUUAAAACUCAAAGAAAUUGACGGGGACCCGCACAAGCGGUGGAGUAUGUGGCUUAAUUCGAUGCAACGCGAAGAACCUUACCUGGGCUUGACAUGUAAUGAACAACAUGUGAAAGCAUGCGACUCUUCGGAGGCGUUACACAGGUGCUGCAUGGCCGUCGUCAGCUCGUGUCGUGAGAUGUUUGGUUAAGUCCAGCAACGAGCGCAACCCCUGUUGCCAGUUACCAGCACGUGAAGGUGGGGACUCUGGCGAGACUGCCCAGAUCAACUGGGAGGAAGGUGGGGACGACGUCAGGUCAGUAUGGCCCUUAUGCCCAGGGCUGCACACGUACUACAAUGCCCAGUACAGAGGGGGCCGAAGCCGCGAGGCGGAGGAAAUCCUAAAAACUGGGCCCAGUUCGGACUGUAGGCUGCAACCCGCCUACACGAAGCCGGAAUCGCUAGUAAUGGCGCAUCAGCUACGGCGCCGUGAAUACGUUCCCGGGUCUUGUACACACCGCCCGUCACACCAUGGGAGUCGGAAAUGCCCGAAGUCGGUGACCUAACGAAAGAAGGAGCCGCCGAAGGCAGGUCUGAUAACUGGGGUG
rnacentral:rRNA from 1 species